UUUGAUUAGAUCUCAAAUCAGGUAGGACUACCCGCUGAACUUAAGCAUAUCAAUAAGCGGAGGAAAAGAAACUAACAAGGAUUCCCCUAGUAGCGGCGAGCGAAGCGGGAAGAGCUCAAAUUUAUAAUCUGGCACCUUCGGUGUCCGAGUUGUAAUCUCUAGAAGUGUUUUCCGCGUUGGACCGCACACAAGUCUGUUGGAAUACAGCGGCAUAGUGGUGAAACCCCCGUAUAUGGUGCGGACGCCCAGCGCUUUGUGAUACACUUUCAAUGAGUCGAGUUGUUUGGGAAUGCAGCUCAAAUUGGGUGGUAAAUUCCAUCUAAAGCUAAAUAUUGGCGAGAGACCGAUAGCGAACAAGUACCGUGAGGGAAAGAUGAAAAGCACUUUGGAAAGAGAGUUAACAGUACGUGAAAUUGUUGGAAGGGAAACGCUUGAAGUCAGACUUGCUUGCCGGAGCUUGCUUCGGUUUGCAGGCCAGCAUCAGUUUUCCGGGGUGGAUAAUGACGGUUUGAAGGUAGCAGUCUCGGCUGUGUUAUAGCUUUCCGUUGGAUACGCCCUGGGGGACUGAGGAACGCAGCGUGCUUUUUGCGAAAGACUCGUCUGUCACGCUACGAUGCUGGGG
rnacentral:rRNA from 1 species